CCUUAGGGGGGAGAAAGCUUAUCAGUGAUCCCAACUAUCAUUACCUCCUAAGAUCUUAUUGAUAAUUUUGAGAAACAAAAUUAGUUUUAGCAUUAUUUUUUGAGCGGGAGAAAACUUAUCAAGGGGGAGAAAACUUGAGUGAUCCCACACAAUAUAAGAGGGAGAAUCAUCGAGGAUCCCGAACGUACGGGGAGGUAGUUCAAGGAACUCUUAUCUAUAUCAAAGGGGGAGAACAUUAAAUGAACCCUUACGUAC
rnacentral:lncRNA from 1 species